GAUAAGGAGCUUGCUCCUUUGACGUUAGCGGCGGACGGGUGAGUAACACGUGGGUAACCUACCUAUAAGACUGGGACAACUUCGGGAAACCGGAGCUAAUACCGGAUAAUAUGUUGAACCGCAUGGUUCAAUAGUGAAAGAUGGUUUUGCUAUCACUUAUAGAUGGACCCGCGCCGUAUUAGCUAGUUGGUGAGGUAACGGCUCACCAAGGCAACGAUACGUAGCCGACCUGAGAGGGUGAUCGGCCACACUGGAACUGAGACACGGUCCAGACUCCUACGGGAGGCAGCAGUAGGGAAUCUUCCGCAAUGGGCGAAAGCCUGACGGAGCAACGCCGCGUGAGUGAUGAAGGUCUUAGGAUCGUAAAACUCUGUUAUUAGGGAAGAACAAACGUGUAAGUAACUGUGCACGUCUUGACGGUACCUAAUCAGAAAGCCACGGCUAACUACGUGCCAGCAGCCGCGGUAAUACGUAGGUGGCAAGCGUUAUCCGGAAUUAUUGGGCGUAAAGCGCGCGUAGGCGGUUUUUUAAGCCUGAUGUGAAAGCCCACGGCUCAACCGUGGAGGGUCAUUGGAAACUGGAAAACUUGAGUACAGAAGAGGAAAGUGGAAUUCCAUGUGUAGCGGUGAAAUGCGCAGAGAUAUGGAGGAACACCAGUGGCGAAGGCGACUUUCUGGUCUGUAACUGACGCUGAUGUGCGAAAGCGUGGGGAUCAAACAGGAUUAGAUACCCUGGUAGUCCACGCCGUAAACGAUGAGUGCUAAGUGUUAGGGGGUUUCCGCCCCUUAGUGCUGCAGCUAACGCAUUAAGCACUCCGCCUGGGGAGUACGACCGCAAGGUUG
rnacentral:rRNA from 1 species